UGAGCAAUCUGCCCUUCUCAUCGGAAUAAGCGUUGGAAACGACGUCUAAUGCCGAAUACGACCUCCUUUCGCAUGAUCGGAGGUGGAAAGCUCCGGUGGAGAAGGAUGAGCUCGCGGCCUAUCAGCUAGUUGGUGUGGGUAAUGGCCCACCAAGGCGACGACGGGUAGCCGGCCUGAGAGGGUGACCGGCCACACUGGGACUGAGACACGGCCCAGACUCCUACAGGAGG
rnacentral:rRNA from 1 species